ACUAUGAGAUUUUUUGCUAUUUAUUUGUGUGUCUCUUUUGUUGGUGGUCCCAGAAUUUGUCUGGUCUUUAGAAUCACCUUGGAACAUUUUGGAGAGAUUCCAAGUCCCCACCCCAGAGAUUACAGUUUAGAAGAUCUGAUCUACUUAAUCCUCUCAACAACCCUAAUUUGGAGGCUCAGGGUAGUUAAGACACUCAUCCAAGUUCCAACAGCUGGAAAGUGGCCAAUCCAAAAUUCAAGCUUGCAUCUGAGUCUUAUGAGUCUUUUCAUACACCAGGAGGCCACACACACCAUAAGGAGGGAGUUUCCCUCUGCUGGAUGACUUGGGGCAAGUGGCUUGCACAUUCUGAACUUCCGUUUCCUCAUCUGGAAAAUAAAGCUAGUACUGGGAAAUAGUCAUUAUUUUUACAAGGAUUGCAUUCAAUUAAAACAUCUAGAACAUACUGCAGCUCUUACUUUAAUAAGAUAAGAAAUCCUCUCCAGGUGGGUAGGAGUGACCGACAGCAAGGAGUCAUGGACUGGAGAAAUGCCUGGAGUCCACAGGGCAGAGGAGCUUCCAAAUAUUUGGUUUAGGACAGAGUCAGACAGUCAUAUAGCCUCCAGUCGCAGACAGGAGCUCAAGUAUUGAACAGGAAACUGAGGCAGAAAUUCCAAUUCUGAACAAGAUGGAGGCGACAGGGCACGGAUUUGGCAUGCAGAUACCCCGGGCUCCCUCCGUCUCCAUCCCCUCCUCCCCAUCCCUGCUUUUCCAUCCCUGUCUCAGAUUCCAGGCAGGAGGCAGUUGGUUUCCAGACUCCUGUACUGGGGAAAGUGUUCAUCUCCAGCCGGGGGUAGUGGCUCACAUCAUUAAACAGCCUGUAAUCCCCGCACUUUGGGAGGCCUGAGGUCAUGAGUUUGAGACCAGUCUGGCCAACAUGUUGAAACCCAUCUCUACUAAAAAUACAAAAAAUUAGCCAGGGAUUGUGGCGCACGCCUGUAAUCCCAGUUACUCGGGAGACUGAGACAGGAGA
rnacentral:lncRNA from 10 species